AGAGUUUGAUCAUGGCUCAGAUUGAACGCUGGCGGGAUGCUUUACACAUGCAAGUCGAACGGCAGCAUAGAGAGCUUGCUCUCUGAUGGCGAGUGGCGAACGGGUGAGUAAUAUAUCGGAACGUGCCCAGUAAUGGGGAAUAACUAGCCGAAAGGUUAGCUAAUACCGCAUACGACCUACGGGUGAAAGCAGGGGAUCUUAGGACCUUGCGUUAUUGGAGCGGCCGAUAUCUGAUUAGCUUGUUGGUGGGGUAAAAGCCUACCAAGGCAACGAUCAGUAGCUGGUCUGAGAGGACGAUCAGCCACACUGGAACUGAGACACGGUCCAGACUCCUACGGGAGGCAGCAGUGGGGAAUUUUGGACAAUGGGGGAAACCCUGAUCCAGCCAUCCCGCGUGAGUGAAGAAGGCCUUCGGGUUGUAAAGCUCUUUCGAAAGUGAAGAAAACUUAUUUCAUAAUAUGUUAUGAGUAUGACGGUAACUUUAGAAGAAGCACCGGCUAACUACGUGCCAGCAGCCGCGGUAAU
rnacentral:rRNA from 1 species